UGCUUAACACAUGCAAGUCGAACGGCAGCACGGUCUAGUUUACUAGAUGGGUGGCGAGUGGCGAACGGGUGAGUAACGCGUAGGAAUAUGCCUUAAAGUUUGGGAUAACAUGGGGAAACUCAUGCUAAUACCGGAUGAGCUCUUAGGAGGAAAGCUGGGGACCAUUUAUGGCCUGGCGCUUUAAGAUUAGCCUGCGUCCGAUUAGCUAGUUGGUGGGGUAAGGGCCUACCAAGGCGACGAUCGGUAGCUGGUCUGAGAGGAUGAUCAGCCACACUGGGACUGAGACACGGCCCAGACUCCUACGGGAGGCAGCAGUGGGGAAUAUUGGACAAUGGGGGGAACCCUGAUCCAGCAAUGCCGCGUGUGUGAAGAAGGCCUGAGGGUUGUAAAGCACUUUCAGUGGGGAGGAGGGAUGAUAGGUUAAGAGCUAAUUAUCUGGACGUUACCCACAGAAGAAGCACCGGCUAACUCCGUGCCAGCAGCCGCGGUAAUACGGAGGGUGCGAGCGUUAAUCGGAAUUACUGGG
rnacentral:rRNA from 1 species